CCGUGCCCAAGAGAUCGGGAUAACACCUGGAAACAGAUGCUAAUACCGGAUAACAACAGAUGAUGCCUAUCAACUGUUUAAAAGAUGGUUCUGCUAUCACUCUUGGAUGGACCUGCGGUGCAUUAGCUAGUUGGUAGGGUAACGGCCUACCAAGGCGAUGAUGCAUAGCCGAGUUGAGAGACUGAUCGGCCACAUUGGGACUGAGACACGGCCCAAACUACUACGGGAGGCAGCAGAG
rnacentral:rRNA from 1 species